GUGUCAGCCGCCGCGGUAAUACGGAGGGUGCGAGCGUUAAUCGGAAUUACUGGGCGUAAAGCGUGCGUAGGCGGCUGUUUAAGUCAGAUGUGAAAGUCCCGGGCUUAACCUGGGAACGGCAUUUGAUACUGGGCAGCUAGAGUUUAGGAGAGGAGAGUGGAAUUUCCGGUGUAGCGGUGAAAUGCGUAGAUAUGCGGAGGAACACCGAUGGCGAAGGCAAUCCCCUGGGCCUGCACUGACGCUCAUGCACGAAAGCGUGGUGAGCAAACAGGAUUAGAUACCCUGGUAGUCCACGCCCUAA
rnacentral:rRNA from 1 species